CACACAUUUUUGAAUGAGUAAGCUUUAAAGCUGUGCUGCGUCUGCUCGCAAACUCAUCGCAGCUUUGAAAGUGAAAAAACAACAUUUGGUUCAGAGUGGAAAUUCGCUUGCAUUUGCACCCUACCUCUUCCAUGUGCUUCACAAUUUACUCGCUUUUAAUAAUAAGUGAGGAAGUUGGAACAUAAUCCACCCAUAAAUGUUACUGCUGUAAUUUGACUGGGCUGUGUUUGUUCAUGCAUUAGUUGUAUAUGUGAAGUGAAGUGGGGAUGGAUGCCGGGGAUCCCCGUGCAGCACGAACAAACAGAGCUGUUUGGGAUUUCAACACCCAAACAUCCUGCAGUUGUUUUCAGCUUUAGUUUCAGACCUGUCCUAACCCAGUGGUGCCUGCAAGAGGUGCAUCAGGAGGGGAAUAUUGUGGGAAUGCUGUUCAGGACGUGUUUGAAGCAAUCAAAGGGUUGAAAGAUUGAUUCGGCAUGUAGAUUGGAUUUAAUUCGAAGCAGCUUUGUUCUAAUGAGGACUACUGGGAUACAAAGACAGCAGCCGCUUGUGGCCACCAGUUGGGAACUCCGACUCGCUGCAACAACCUGUCAAGAAUUCCAAGAAACUGCCAGGGUAAAAUUGCCUGCAGGGUACGUUUGCUGAAGCCUGUUAAUUCCUCCUGAGGUCAGUGGGUACCGGGUGCUGGGCAGUGCAGCCUCUCCUGGCUGGGCACGGUGGUUGUGUGGGCUCCGGCCGCUUCCCAAGAGACAGGGACAGUAAUGAAGAACGUGGGAUUUCCCACAGGAAUUUGGAAGAUGCCCAUGUCUAAUACAAUGGUGAGGAUUGGGCCAAAAUCCAGAUGCAGCCUUGAUUCCUUCAUCCAAGUAACCCUGUGCUGACCCACGGCUGCUGAUGGAUCGCAGCGACGUGGACCUUCCUCCCUCCUCUCUGCCCUGCAUCAGAUCACCAGGAGGACCUGAGAGUACUGGAUGAACCAUCACAAGAAAGUGGUUGGAAGCCUGGGGACCAAGCACUCAGGGAGGUGGCUGAUGCAGCUGGUUCCCUGGCCCUGGGCUGUGGCUCAGCUCUAGGUCAUGGCACGUGACACCAGAAGCCAGAGGUGGGGACUGUUUCUGUCUUGGCUACUCCUCAUCAGUGCUUUGAGCUGCACGAAGCCUUGAGAAACAAGGAAACACGAGUGCACCACCAGGGAUUUGCUCCUCUCUACACCUGAAGCACAGCACAAAGUUCUACCCUUUGCUUCUGCAGCAAGUUCUUGUUACCCAAUUCCUGCUGACAGCAGAGGAAGAGGCACAAGUCAGCUCAGAAAAUGAACAACUAGAAGGCUGGGGUCAUGAGUUGGACUUGGAAGAAGAAACUUUCAUGCAGAGAUGUGACUGCAGUGUCAAUAUUGUGCCAGGGGUGAACUCUUGUGAGACUCCAUCUGGAGCUCUGCAUCCAGCUCUGAGACCCCCAGGAUAAGAAGGAUGUUGGAGUGAAUCCAGAAGAGGCCACUAAGAUGAUCCAAGAGCUGGAACACCUCUGCUGUGGAGACAGGCUGAGAGAGAAGGUGCUGUUCAGCCUGGAGAGGAGAAGGCUCUGGAGAGAUCUCACUGCACCUUUCAGUGCCCAAAGGGGCUCCAAGAGAGCUGAAAGGGACUUUUGACAAGAGCAU